rnacentral:rRNA from 1 species
GACAGCAGUCGCCGCGGUAAUACGGAGGGUGCAAGCGUUAAUCGGAAUUACUGGGCGUAAAGCGCACGCAGGCGGUCUGUUAAGUCAGAUGUGAAAUCCCCGAGCUUAACUUGGGAACUGCAUUUGAAACUGGCAAGCUAGAGUCUUGUAGAGGGGGGUAGAAUUCCAGGUGUAGCGGUGAAAUGCGUAGAGAUCUGGAGGAAUACCGGUGGCGAAGGCGGCCCCCUGGACAAAGACUGACGCUCAGGUGCGAAAGCGUGGGGAGCAAACAGGAUUAGAUACCCCAGUAGUCCCUGUCUCUUAUAC